rnacentral:pre_miRNA from 1 species
UUAAUACUCCCUCCAUAAUUACUUAUCGCAGGUAUAGAUGUAUCUAUAUGUAUUUUAGUUUUAGAUACAUUCAUUUCUGCGAUAAGUAAUUUGAAACGGAGGGAGUAUUUC